AUGUAUCCAGUAGCUUGGGCAGUAGUGGAGAAAGAAACUAGUGAAUCUUGGGAGUGGUUUGUUGGCCUUUUGAUAAAGGACUUGGAUAUUAAUGAUCAAGGUGAAGGAUGGGUGUUCAUAUCAGAUCAACAGAAGGUAUGUUGUCCACAUAGUUGUCCAUAUUGGCUUUUUGUUAAUUAUUUACUUGUUAGUGAUAUCCUAUUAAUUACUAGUUUGUUUAGGUUCAUGCUAUGUUGGUUAGGUUCACUCGUCUUGUCGAAGCAUGACGUACUCACUUUUAUGGUAGGUUGCUUAGGUUCACUCUCCUUGAUGAAGCGUGACCUACUCACUUUUAUGGUAGGUUGCUUAGGUUCACUCGCCUUGUAG
rnacentral:rRNA from 1 species